UGGGAAAUACGCAAAGAAAUUCAGUGAUCAC
rnacentral:piRNA from 1 species